rnacentral:rRNA from 1 species
CCUACGGGGGGCUGCAGUGGGGAAUAUUGGACAAUGGGGGCAACCCUGAUCCAGCCAUGCCGCGUGUGUGAAGAAGGCCCUCGGGUUGUAAAGCACUUUCAGUGAGGAAGAACGCCUGGUGGUUAAUACCCAUCAGGAAAGACAUCACUCACAGAAGAAGCACCGGCUAACUCCGUGCCAGCAGCCGCGGUAAUACGGAGGGUGCGAGCGUUAAUCGGAAUUACUGGGCGUAAAGCGCGCGUAGGUGGCUUGAUAAGCCGGUUGUGAAAGCCCCGGGCUCAACCUGGGAACGGCAUCCGGAACUGUCAAGCUAGAGUGCAGGAGAGGAAGGUAGAAUUCCCGGUGUAGCGGUGAAAUGCAUAGAGAUCGGGAGGAAUACCAGUGGCGAAGGCGGCCUUCUGGACUGACACUGACACUGAGGUGCGAAAGCGUGGGUAGCAAACAGGAUUAGAUACCCUAGUAGUC